AUUUCUCAGAGUUAAAGCUUUAAUUAGAUCCUGAGCGGCUCAGAAUUCGCAUUGUAAACCGUGAUUAUAUUUUUUAAUUUCAUUAUAAAGAGAUUAGUUCCAUCAUUUCACCGCUAGAGUUUCAAUAAAUCAGAAUACUUUAAAGUAAUUUAAAAAUCUUGUUAGUUAUUCGUUCUAUUAUACUAUCCAAUCCCAUACUGUCUGCUUUCGGAUACCUCUAUACACUCUAUGCUCUAUGCUCUAUGCUCCGGUACCAACACUAUGAACGAAUGUAUAUUUUGCUUUUUCUUUCAAAACAAUGGAAGAAAUACGCAAAUAUUUCCAGAUUAAAUGAGGGGAAUGGUAUACUUAUUAAUAUAUCGCAAAUAAAUAUUUAUUUAA